UAAUCACUUGUCUUUUAAAUGAAGACCCGUAUGAAUGGCACGACGAGGGUUUAACUGUCUCCUCCCCCCAAUCAAUGAAAUUGAUCUACCCGUGCAGAAGCGGGUAUAAUAACAUAAGACGAGAAGACCCUAUGGAGCUUUAGGCUAAGGAUUAAACAUGUUAAAAGAACUAAAUUCUUAAAUUCUACUGAAUAAUAAAAAGUCAUAAACCAAAUGUAAAUAUAACCCAAAUGCCUUCGGUUGGGGCGACCAUGGGGAAAAAAGAAACCCCCACAUGGAAUGGAGACACUCUCCUAAACCAAGAAAAUCAAUUCUAAGUAAUAGAACAUCUAACCAAAAAUGACCCAGGAACAAACAUCCUGAUCAAUGAACCAAGUUACCCUAGGGAUAACAGCGCAAUCCUUUCCCAGAGCCCA
rnacentral:rRNA from 1 species